AAGGGAAAGUUGUAUCUAAAGGAAGCUGCUAACUAUCCUUUAAAGCGGUUAAAAUCCGUUUUUCUCUUU
rnacentral:tRNA from 1 species